rnacentral:tRNA from 1 species
AGCGUAGCCCGGUAUCGCGCCACAUUUGGGAUGUGGAGGUCGUAGGUUCGAAUCCUGCC